rnacentral:lncRNA from 1 species
AUGCACAAUUCUAAAAACUCCAUCUACUUUCGACAGGAUGGUCUCAAGUGUAAUUUGCCUCUGCCUUCCAAUAUGCAGUUUGUCUGGGAACUGAAGAAUUAUUCUAGGUGGAAGUGGGAAGAAAAACAUACAUUGUGUAAGUAUUUCCAUAGACUUUACAAUGCACAAGAAGACUGUGCUGACAACAAAAGAGCAAGAGAAAAUAAGAAUAACUGGGCCAAGAGAAAACCACCGGGAGGCAUCUUCUGUAUUGUUCUAAAUAUCACAUAUGAUGUGUGAUUUCUUAGGAAUACAUGAAACAAAGUAUUUUUGAAAUGUUUCCUCAAUAACAAAAAGCCUCACAUUUUAUGUUUGGCUUCAGAUCAUUCUGUAUACCUCCUAUAAGUUACUCAUCUGAUAGAGUAUAUUAAUUUGACUUUGAAUCUUUCUUUUUUUCUUUAAAACCCUUACCUUAUAUCUUGGAAUCAAUGCUGGGUAUUGGUUCCAAGGCAGAAGAAUAGUAUGGGCUAGGUAAUUGGGGGGGGGGAGCCUUUCCCAGGGUCACAGAGCCAGGAAGUAUCUGAAGCCACAUUUGAACCCAGGACCUCCCAUCUCUGGGCUUGGCUCCCAAUCAACUGAGUCACCUAGCUGCCUCCUGGAUCUUUCUUUUUAAACCUUUUUUCCAGUCCUAAAUUGGCAAUCAGACUCUUACCUAUCAGUAAGAUGUCUGUGAAUGAUAGAUAGUCUGGGCAUCUUGCCUCUGUGCACCAUUAGGAGAGAUACCGUACACAUAUCAUUAAGCCAAAGGAUCACAAAUUUAGGACUGAAAUGUUUAAAGAUCAAUUGUCCUUACCCUUAAUUUUACAUAUGAGGAAACUGGGGCCCAGAAAUGUUAAGUGAAUUGCUAGAGAUCACAGGUAAUAAGUGAUAGAAAAUGGAUUAAACCCAGGUCUAUAGAUUCUGGUUCCAAUAUUCUUUCUUGUCUAUAAUGUUAUCAAUUUGGUAAGAUUUUCAUCAGUUAAAUGAAUUCUGAAAUUAUUCUAAUGUACUUCCACAACAUCUCCUGUCUCCUAUUUCCUUUUGCCCUUCUUUUUUAAAUCUUAGAAUAAAUACCAUGUAUUGGUUCCA